rnacentral:rRNA from 1 species
CAAUAGCGUAUAUUAAAGUUGUUGCGGUUAAAAAGCUCGUAGUUGGAUUUCUUCCAGGGGCAGUCGGUCCACACUACGUGUGCGUAUCUGAUUUGACUUUGGAAUCCUCUUGGGGAACAUCUCUGCGCUUAACUGCGUGGAGUGGUAUUCAAGACUUUUACUUUGAGGAAAUUAGAGUGUUCACGGCAGGCAAUCGCCCUGAAUACAUUAGCAUGGAAUAAUAAUAUAGGAUUUCGGUUCUAUUUUGUUGGUUUCUAGAGCUGAGAUAAUGAUUAAUAGGGACACUUGGGGGCAUUCGUAUUAUCACGUCAGAGGUGGAAUUCUUGGAUUGUGUUACGACGAACUACUGCGAAAGCAUUUGCCAAGGAUGUUUUCAUUGA